rnacentral:tRNA from 1 species
AAAAAAUAGUUUAAGGUUAGAAUGCUGUUUUUGUAAAACAGUGAUAUUUGGUAGUCAGAUUUUUUUC